rnacentral:rRNA from 1 species
UACGUAGGGUGCGAGCGUUACUCGGAAUUACUGGGCGUAAAGCGUGCGCAGGCGGUUUUGUAAGCCCGAUGUGAAAUCCCCGGGCUCAACCUGGGAACUGCAUUUGUGACUGCAUGGCUGGAGUGCGGCAGAGGGGGAUGGAAUUCCGCGUGUAGCAGUGAAAUGCGUAGAUAUGCGGAGGAACACCGAUGGCGAAGUCAAUCCCCUGGGCCUGCACUGACGCUCAUGCACGAAAGCGUGGGGAGCAAACAGG